GGGCACUUGGCACAGUGGUAGCGCGCAUGCUUUGCAUUUCUCGAUGCGUGCAUGAGGUCGGGAGUUCAAUCCUCCCAGUGUCCA